UUUGAGUUGCACGCUCUAGACCCGAAGCGGAGUGAUCUAGCCAUGGGCAGGUUGAAGCGGCUGUAAGAGGUCGUGGAGGACCGAACCCACCAGGGUUGAAAACCUGGGGGAUGACCUGUGGUUAGGGGUGAAAGGCCAAUCAAACUCCGUGAUAGCUGGUUCUCCCCGAAAUGCAUUUAGGUGCAGCGUCGUGUGUUUCUUGCCGGAGGUAGAGCACUGGAUAGGCGAUGGGCCCUACCGGGUUACUGACCUUAGCCAAACUCCGAAUGCCGGUAAGUGAGAGCGCGGCAGUGAGACUGUGGGGGAUAAGCUCCAUGGUCGAGAGGGAAACAGCCCAGAGCAUCGACUAAGGCCCCUAAGCGUACGCUAAGUGGGAAAGGAUGUGGAGUCGCAGAGACAACCAGGAGGUUGGCUUAGAAGCAGCCACCCUUGAAAGAGUGCGUAAUAGCUCACUGGUCUAGUGAUUCCGCGCCGACAAUGUAGCGGGGCUCAAGCGUACCGCCGAAGUCGUGUCAUUGCAGCAAUACUCCCAACGGAGGCUGUGAUGGGUAGGGGAGCGUCGUGUGCCGGGUGAAGCAGCCGUGGAAGCGAGUUGUGGACGGUUCACGAGUGAGAAUGCAGGCAUGAGUAGCGAUUCACACGUGAGAAACGUGUGCGCCGAUUGACUAAGGGUUCCUGGGUCAAGCUGAUCUGCCCAGGGUAAGUCGGGACCUAAGGCGAGGCCGACAGGCGUAGUCGAUGGAUAACCGGUUGAUAUUCCGGUACCCGCUGUGAAGCGUCAAACAUUGAAUCCAGUGAUGCUAAGCCCGUGAAGCCGUUCCGGACCCUUCGGGGAAUGGAAAGUGGUGGAGCCGGUGGCCCGAGCUGGUAGUAGGUGAGUGAUGGGGUGACGCAGGAAGGUAGUCCAUCCCGGGCGGUGGUUGUCCCGGGGUAAGGGUGUAGG
rnacentral:rRNA from 1 species